UAAUAAAAGUGUUUUAUGGCACUUUUCAAACAAAAUCCAUAUCCACCUCGUGUGCAAUGUUUUUUUUUUUUUUAAAUAAACACUUUAUUUUUUAAUUGCCAAUUUAUCUGAAGAUCAGUAUUAUUAUGAAUUAACUUAAUUCAAAAUA
rnacentral:misc_RNA from 1 species